GCCGGGGUGGUGAAAUGGUAGACACGCAGCGUUCAGAACGCUGUGGGAGCAAUCCCAUGGAGGUUCGACUCCUCUCCUCGGCACCA
rnacentral:tRNA from 1 species